rnacentral:rRNA from 1 species
CCUACGGGAGGCAGCAGUGAGGAAUAUUGGUCAAUGGUCGGGAGACUGAACCAGCCAAGCCGCGUGAGGGAGGAAGGUACAGAGUAUCGUAAACCUCUUUUGUCAGGGAACAAAGACUGGGACGCGUCCCCGGAUGAGUGUACCUGAAGAAAAAGCAUCGGCUAACUCCGUGCCAGCAGCCGCGGUAAUACGGAGGAUGAGAGCGUUAUCCGGAUUUAUUGGGUUUAAAGGGUGCGCAGGCGGUCUGUUAAGUCAGCGGGCAAAGCCCGGGGCUCAACCCCGGCCCGCCGUUGAAACUGGCAGUCUCGAGUUGGAGAGAAGUAUGCGGAAUGCGCGGUGUAGCGGUGAAAUGCAUAGAUAUCGCGCAGAACUCCGAUUGCGAAGGCAGCAUGCCGGCUCCACACUGACGCUGAGGCACGAAAGCGUGGGUAUCGAACAGGAGUAGAUACCCUUGUAGUC